CACGCCGUAAACGAUGGGUACUAGGUGUAGGAGGUAUCGACCCCUUCUGUGCCGCAGCUAACGCAUUAAGUACCCCGCCUGGGGAGUACGGCCGCAAGGUUGAAACUCAAAGGAAUUGACGGGGGCCCGCACAAGCGGUGGAGCAUGUGGUUUAAUUCGACGCAACGCGAAGAACCUUACCAGGGCUUGACAUCCUUUGAAUCCCGAUGAAAGUUGGGAGUGUCCCUUCGGGGAAGCAAAGAGACAGGUGG
rnacentral:rRNA from 1 species